rnacentral:misc_RNA from 1 species
GUCCAUAACUAUUGGUCACUUCUGUCACCGUUAAUAUUCUCAGAUCAUCCAAAGAGACCUGGUUAUGAGGACCCUUCUCCACCUUAUAACAUGCUCAGGAAUGUGCUGGACAUGAAUGCUCAUUUUGGUGGUUUUAAUUCUGCACUAUUGGAAGCUGGCAAGUCUGUGUGGGUUAUGAAUGUUGUGCCAACCACUGGACCUAACUACCUGCC